GCCUCUACAAGUGUGACAUCAGCGGUCAUGGAGAGUCUCCAUCCAGCUGGAUCACUGUCACAGAAAAACAUAUAACCACGCCCCCUGACUCGUCCUUACUCCACUUUGUGAUUAGACUGCUCUUCCACCUGGUGAUGUUCUGUCCAUAUGUCAUCUCCACUCUCCUCAUGGUGUCUUUGUAUCGAAAGACAGCUAAAGGAAAAAACAUCCGUGUCUCAAUCCUGCCCAUUCAGCCUGAGCAGGGACUGGACAAUGAGCAUUAUGAUGUCAUCUCUGAUGUCACCACAGAGUAUCACUUCUGAAUCAGAGCUUUGGUGCUUCUCUUUAGGUCUCACUAACUUUGUCCUCUCCACCUCUGUUGUGAAUCUUAUCUGAAUAAAAGGACUCUGAUGUUCAUCGCUGGAUAUUUUUGUGUAGAUAAACAGCAAAUGUUCCCAAGAAAAUCUGCUGGAGCUCUCAAUAGAAAUUAUAUUGACUUAUGAUUUUAUACCCCACACUCAGUCACUACAACCAAUGUUAGGGUUCCUCCACCUGCUGAAUCCACUUUAACCUCUGACUGUGCACAUUUUACUGUUACAGGCAAAGUCACCGUCUACAAUGUAGGUGACUGAAAAUAAAGAUAUAGCUUUUAUUUUCCUUCUUUUCCUUCAGAUUCAAGCUUAGUAUGAUUAAAAUUAAAAGAAGUCAGACUAAAAUUUGUACUCUCAUCCCCUAUAUUAUUUUAUUAUUAUGUUAACAUAGCUCAAAGUUCAGUUAGCUUUGAAGAAAAACAGAAAAGUCCUAAAAAGAGCUACUUUAUACUUUCUUACUUUGAGUACAUCUCAGAGCCUGCACUUUUCUACUUAUACUUGAGUAAGGAACUUGAAUCAGUACUUCAACUUUUACUGGAAUAUUUUUUACAGUAGUGUUUGUAUUUGUACUUAAGUACAGAAUGUCUGUACUUUUGCCAACUCUGCUUGGUCUGAGCAGGAGCUCAUCAGAUUGAACUAACUGGUGUCCUAUUCUUAAUGUUUCUGACUAAAUUCAGAAACAUUAAGGUUGUUGCUGCUGUGCACUCACAGAUACUGAUGGUCUGAUGAAGGCCUCUACAAGUGUGACAUCAGCGGUCAUGGAGAGUCUCCAUCCAGCUGGAUCACUGUCACAGAUCUGACCUCUGACUCCUCCUUACUGCUUGUGAUCAGAGUGGUCCUCCAUCUGGUGGUGUUCUGUCCAUACUUCAUCUCCACUCUCCUCGUGGUGUCUUUAUAUUGACAUUAAAUAUUUAUAUCGAUAAAUUAAUAUGCUGAUGAUUAACUCUAUGUAUCUGAACUCUUGAUCAAUAAACGGCUGACACAAUU